rnacentral:lncRNA from 10 species
GGUAGUAGGGAGGAGGUGGAAAUGGUUAAUGGAUACAAAAAAAUACUUAGAAGGGAUAAAUAAGAUCUAGUAUUUGAUAGCACAACAUAGUAUCUAAGUCAAAAUAAGUUAACUGUAUAUUUAAAAUAACUAACAGUACAACUGGAUUGUUCUUAACACAAAACAUAAAUGGUUGAAGGGAUGGAUACUCCAUUUUCCAUGAUGUGAUUAUUACACAUUGCAUGCCUGGAUCAAAGCAUCUCAUGUACCCCAUAAAUAUAUAUACCUACUAUGUAUCCACAAAAAUGAAAAAUAGAAAAAAUUUACCUUAUAGGGUUAAGACAUCUAAAUGAGUUGAUACACGAAAUUUGCUUCAAUAAUACCUGUAUGUGUUCAAUAAUGUUGGCUAUCGUUAUGUAUACCUUUAAAAAAUCAACAGGUUGGAUUUCCUCCAAGACUUGAA